AGAUGGUACAAUGAAGAAGUCCACUACCCCAUCAGUCAUUACUGUUGAUGCUGCCUCCAUCUGGAUGUUUAAGGACAUGUUGCAUUCAAAGUCUGGCGAACAAAAAAAAAGGUUCAUUCAGUGUCUUGUCCAGGACUUGCCAUUUAAUCAGCUGCCACAUGGGAUGUCAUACUCCACUCCAGCUCUCCACUGCAGGGGGGCCCAGCAAAGAUCUUAAGGUGUUGAGUGGUUUGUGCUAAGUGCUGACUCCUUCUUCCUUGAGGACUUUGACUGCAUGUUCUGACAUUACAAUAGGCUUGUCAGACAAGGGGGAAAAUGCUUUCAACUCAGCUGCCAACUCUUGUUGAAAGCGUGGACCAAAAUUUAACUCUUUAAAAUAUUACACGAUGCUCCUAUGAUCAUCAAAGACCCUUGCUGUAAUUAUGCAUGUGCAUUUAAGCCGCAAAUUGUAACUGGAGCCUUAGAAGCCACGUGGAGGGUUGUAGGGAACUGAAGUCUAACAAGUUACGACAUGAGGUCAUUACUGAGAUGAAUAAUCAAUGGAUUUCAGGGAGGGUGAUUCUUCAUGACUCUUGCAAUACUGUGGUCUUUGGGUCCAGCUCAGGCUAUUUACAAUUACCUGACUAAUUUGUUACACAAAUUCAGAUUCUUUAAUAAAACCUACUUGAUUA